rnacentral:lncRNA from 1 species
UUCCCACAGGAGUUAAAGUAUCUAGUUGACUAGCAACACUACAUGGAGGUAAUAUUAAAUGAUCUCCAGCUGUAUUUUGAGCCUUAGGCUGUAUUUCUCUAUUUAUAGUUGAGGGCCUAAUAGGAAUUGUACUAGUUAACUCAUCACUAGACAUUGUUCUUUGUAGCACAUAUUAUGUUGUAGCACAUUUCUACUAUGUUCUAUCAACAGGAGCAGUUUUCAUUAUUAUAGGAGGGUUUGUUCACUGAUUCUCACAAUUUUUAGGUUACACACUGAACCUGAGCCAAAAUUCAUUUUACAAUUAUAUUUGUGCGUAUAAACCUGACUUUCUGCAACAUUUCCUUGGUUUAUCCAGCAUAUCAUAACAAUAGUCUAAUUAUCCUGAUGCAUAUACAACAUGAAAAAUCAUCUUAUCAAUAGGCUCCUCUAUUUCACUAACAGAAUAUUAAAAAUUUUCAUAAUUUGAGAAGACUUUACUUCAAAAUGAGAAGCCUCAGUAGUGGGGCUUUCAUUACAAACUUUGAAUGACCUUAUGGCUGCCCACCCCCAUAUCAUGCAUUUGAAGAGCCUGCUUACGUAAAAGCUUAAG